CUACAAUGCAGUCGAGCGGUAGAGAGAAGCUUGCUUCUCUUGAGAGCGGCGGACGGGUGAGUAAUGCCUAGGAAUCUGCCUGGUAGUGGGGGAUAACGUUCGGAAACGGACGCUAAUACCGCAUACGUCCUACGGGAGAAAGCAGGGGACCUUCGGGCCUUGCGCUAUCAGAUGAGCCUAGGUCGGAUUAGCUAGUUGGUGAGGUAAUGGCUCACCAAGGCGACGAUCCGUAACUGGUCUGAGAGGAUGAUCAGUCACACUGGAACUGAGACACGGUCCAGACUCCUACGGGAGGCAGCAGUGGGGAAUAUUGGACAAUGGGCGAAAGCCUGAUCCAGCCAUGCCGCGUGUGUGAAGAAGGUCUUCGGAUUGUAAAGCACUUUAAGUUGGGAGGAAGGGUUGUAGAUUAAUACUCUGCAAUUUUGACGUUACCGACAGAAUAAGCACCGGCUAACUCUGUGCCAGCAGCCGCGGUAAUACAGAGGGUGCAAGCGUUAAUCGGAAUUACUGGGCGUAAAGCGCGCGUAGGUGGUUUGUUAAGUUGGAUGUGAAAUCCCCGGGCUCAACCUGGGAACUGCAUUCAAAACUGACUGACUAGAGUAUGGUAGAGGGUGGUGGAAUUUCCUGUGUAGCGUG
rnacentral:rRNA from 1 species